GAUUAAGUUAUUAAGGGCGCACGGUGGAUGCCUUGGCACUAGAAGCCGAUGAAGGACGUUACUAACGACGAUAUGCUUUGGGGAGCUGUAAGUAAGCUUUGAUCCAGAGAUUUCCGAAUGGGGAAACCCAGCAUGAGUUAUGUCAUGUUAUCGAUAUGUGAAUACAUAGCAUAUCAGAAGGCACACCCGGAGAACUGAAACAUCUUAGUACCCGGAGGAAGAGAAAGAAAAUUCGAUUCCCUUAGUAGCGGNNNNNNNNAUGNGAAGAGCCCAAACCAACAAGCUUGCUUGUUGGGGUUGUAGGACACUCUAUACGGAGUUACAAAGGACGACAUUAGACGAAUCAUCUGGAAAGAUGAAUCAAAGAAGGUAAUAAUCCUGUAGUCGAAAAUGUUGUCUCUCUUGAGUGGAUCCUGAGUACGACGGAGCACGUGAAAUUCCGUCGGAAUCUGGGAGGACCAUCUCCUAAGGCUAAAUACUCUCUAGUGACCGAUAGUGAACCAGUACCGUGAGGGAAAGGUGAAAAGCACCCCGGAAGGGGAGUGAAAUAGAACCUGAAACCGUGUGCUUACAAGUAGUCAGAGCCCGUUAAUGGGUGAUGGCGUGCCUUUUGUAGAAUGAACCGGCGAGUUACGAUUUGAUGCAAGGUUAAGCAGUAAAUGUGGAGCCGUAGCGAAAGCGAGUCUGAAUAGGGCGUUUAGUAUUUGGUCGUAGACCCGAAACCAGGUGAUCUACCCUUGGUCAGGUUGAAGUUCAGGUAACACUGAAUGGAGGACCGAACCGACUUACGUUGAAAAGUGAGCGGAUGAACUGAGGGUAGCGGAGAAAUUCCAAUCGAACCUGGAGAUAGCUGGUUCUCUCCGAAAUAGCUUUAGGGCUAGCCUCAAGUGAUGAUUAUUGGAGGUAGAGCACUGUUUGGACGAGGGGCCCCUCUCGGGUUACCGAAUUCAGACAAACUCCGAAUGCCAAUUAAUUUAACUUGGGAGUCAGAACAUGGGUGAUAAGGUCCGUGUUCGAAAGGGAAACAGCCCAGACCACCAGCUAAGGUCCCAAAAUAUAUGUUAAGUGGAAAAGGAUGUGGCGUUGCCCAGACAACUAGGAUGUUGGCUUAGAAGCAGCCAUCAUUUAAAGAGUGCGUAAUAGCUCACUAGUCGAGUGACACUGCGCCGAAAAUGUACCGGGGCUAAACAUAUUACCGAAGCUGUGGAUUGUCCUUUGGACAAUGGUAGGAGAGCGUUCUAAGGGCGUUGAAGCAUGAUCGUAAGGACAUGUGGAGCGCUUAGAAGNGAGAAUGCCGGNGNGNGUCGNNAAAGACGGGUGAGAAUCCCGUCCACCGAUUGACUAAGGUUUCCAGAGGAAGGCUCGUCCGCUCUGGGUUAGUCGGGUCCUAAGCUGAGGCCGACAGGCGUAGGCGAUGGAUAACAGGUUGAUAUUCCUGUACCACCUAUAAUCGUUUUAAUCGAUGGGGGGACGCAGUAGGAUAGGCGAAGCGUGCGAUUGGAUUGCACGUCUAAGCAGUAAGGCUGAGUAUUAGGCAAAUCCGGUACUCGUUAAGGCUGAGCUGUGAUGGGGAGAAGACAUUGGGUCUUCGAGUCGUUGAUUUCACACUGCCGAGAAAAGCCUCUAGAUAGAAAAUAGGUGCCCGUACCGCAAACCGACACAGGUAGUCAAGAUGAGAAUUCUAAGGUGAGCGAGCGAACUCUCGUUAAGGAACUCGGCAAAAUGACCCCGUAACUUCGGGAGAAGGGGUGCUCUUUAGGGUUAACGCCCAGAAGAGCCGCAGUGAAUAGGCCCAAGCGACUGUUUAUCAAAAACACAGGUCUCUGCUAAACCGUAAGGUGAUGUAUAGGGGCUGACGCCUGCCCGGUGCUGGAAGGUUAAGAGGAGUGGUUAGCUUCUGCGAAGCUACGAAUCGAAGCCCCAGUAAACGGCGGCCGUAACUAUAACGGUCCUAAGGUAGCGAAAUUCCUUGUCGGGUAAGUUCCGACCCGCACGAAAGGCGUAACGAUUUGGGCACUGUCUCAACGAGAGACUCGGUGAAAUCAUAGUACCUGUGAAGAUGCAGGUUACCCGCGACAGGACGGAAAGACCCCGUGGAGCUUUACUGUAGCCUGAUAUUGAAAUUCGGCACAGCUUGUACAGGAUAGGUAGGAGCCUUUGAAACGUGAGCGCUAGCUUACGUGGAGGCGCUGGUGGGAUACUACCCUAGCUGUGUUGGCUUUCUAACCCGCACCACUUAUCGUGGUGGGAGACAGUGUCAGGCGGGCAGUUUGACUGGGGCGGUCGCCUCCUAAAAGGUAACGGAGGCGCUCAAAGGUUCCCUCAGAAUGGUUGGAAAUCAUUCAUAGAGUGUAAAGGCAUAAGGGAGCUUGACUGCGAGACCUACAAGUCGAGCAGGGUCGAAAGACGGACUUAGUGAUCCGGUGGUUCCGCAUGGAAGGGCCAUCGCUCAACGGAUAAAAGCUACCCCGGGGAUAACAGGCUUAUCUCCCCCAAGAGUUCACAUCGACGGGGAGGUUUGGCACCUCGAUGUCGGCUCAUCGCAUCCUGGGGCUGUAGUCGGUCCCAAGGGUUGGGCUGUUCGCCCAUUAAAGCGGUACGCGAGCUGGGUUCAGAACGUCGUGAGACAGUUCGGUCCCUAUCCGUCGUGGGCGUAGGAAAUUUGAGAGGAGCUGUCCUUAGUACGAGAGGACCGGGAUGGACAUACCUCUGGUGUACCAGUUGUCGUGCCAACGGCAUAGCUGGGUAGCUAUGUGUGGACGGGAUAAGUGCUGAAAGCAUCUAAGCAUGAAGCCCCCCUCAAGAUGAGAUUUCCCAACUUCGGUUAUAAGAUCCCUCAAAGAUGAUGAGGUUAAUAGGUUCGAGGUGGAAGCAUGGUGACAUGUGGAGCUGACGAAUACUAAUCGAUCGAAGACUUAAUCAA
rnacentral:rRNA from 1 species